GCGCCCGUAGCUCAACUGGAUAGAGCAUCUGACUACGGAUUAGAAGGUUGGGGGUUCGAAUCCCUCCGGGCGUACCA
rnacentral:tRNA from 1 species